rnacentral:rRNA from 1 species
GAUGAACGCUGGCGGCGUGCCUAACACAUGCAAGUCGAACGGAAUUUACAUGAAGCCUAGCGAUUGUAAAUUUAGUGGCGGACGGGUGAGUAACGCGUGGGUAAACUGUCUUGUACUGGGGGACAACAGCUGGAUACGACUGCUAAUACCGCAUAAGCGCACAGCUUCGAAUGAAGCAGUGUGAAAAACUCCGGUGGUACAAGAGGGACACGCGUCUGAUUAGCUGGUUGGUGAGGUAACGGCCCACCAAGGCACCGAUCAGUAGCCGGCCUGAGAGGGUGAGCGGCCACAUUGGGACUGGGACACGGCCCAAACUCCUACGGGAGGCAGCAGUGGGGAAUAUUGCACAAUGGGGGAAACCCUGAUGCAGCAACGCCGCGUGAGUGAAGAAGUAUUUCGGUAUGUAAAGCUCUAUCAGCAGGAAAGAAAAUGACGGUACCUGACUAAGAAGCCCCGGCUAACUACGUGCCAGCAGCCGCAGUAAUAC